rnacentral:rRNA from 14 species
CCUACAAGGUUACUGACGUCUGCCAAACUCCGAAUGCCGGAAAGUAUAAGCGUAGCAGUGAGACGGUGGGGGAUAAGCUUCAUCGUCGAGAGGGAAACAGCCCAGAUCAUCAGCUAAGGCCCCUAAGCGUGUGCUAAGUGGGAAAGGAUGUGGAGUUGCACAGACAACCAGGAGGUUGGCUUAGAAGCAGCCACCCUUGAAAGAGUGCGUAAUAGCUCACUGGUCAAGUGAUUCCGCGCCGACAAUGUAGCGGGGCUCAAGCACACCGCCGAAGCUAUGGCAUUCACGCAAUAGCCUGCUCUCCGAUCAAGGUCGUUGAGCCAGGUGUGUGGAUGGGUAGGGGAGCGUCGUGUGGCGAUGGAAGCGGCGGAGUGAUCCAGCCGUGGACGCCACACGAGUGAGAAUGCAGGCAUGAGUAGCGAAUGACGGGUGAGAAACCCGUCCGCCGAAUGAUCAAGGGUUCCAGGGCCAGGCUAAUCCGCCCUGGGUAAGUCGGGACCUAAGGCGAGGCCGACAGGCGUAGUCGAUGGACAACGGGUUGAUAUUCCCGUACCCGCGAAAGAGCGUCCAUGCUGAACCCAGCGAUGCUAACCAUCUGAAGCUCCGUGAUGGCUGCCCUUCGGGGUGGUCACGUGUGGGUGGAACGUGGGACCCGGACUGGUAGUAGGCAAGCGAUGGGGUGACGCAGGAAGGUAGUCCUACCGGUGAGUGGUAGUACCGGUGCAAGGGUGUGGCCCGUUCGAUAGGUAAAUCCGUCGAACACAUAGGGUGAGGCCUGACGCAUAGCCGAAUGAGGCGAAUGGGAUGAUCCUAUGCUGCCGAGAAAAGCCUCUAGCGAGCUCUGAGCGGCCCGUACCCCAAACCAACUCAGGUGGUCAGGUAGAGAAUACCAAGGCGAUCGAGAGAAUCGUGGUUAAGGAACUCGGCAAAAUGCCCCCGUAACUUCGGGAGAAGGGG